CCUACGGGGGGCAGCAGUGAGGAAUAUUGGUCAAUGGACGAGAGUCUGAACCAGCCAAGUAGCGUGAAGGAUGACUGCCCUAUGGGUUGUAAACUUCUUUUAUAUGGGAAUAAAAUGUUCCACGUGUGGGAUUUUGUAUGUACCAUAUGAAUAAGCAUAGGCUAACUCCGUGCCAGCAGCCGCGGUAAUACGGAGGAUCCGAGCGUUAUCCGGAUUUAUUGGGUUUAAAGGGAGCGUAGGUGGAUUGUUAAGUCAGUUGUGAAAGUUUGCGGCUCAACCGUAAAAUUGCAGUUGAAACUGGCAGUCUUGAGUACAGUAGAGGUGGGCGGAAUUCGUGGUGUAGCGGUGAAAUGCUUAGAUAUCACGAAGAACUCCGAUUGCGAAGGCAGUUCACUGGACUGCAACUGACACUGAGGCUCGAAAGUGUGGGUAUCAAACAGGAUUAGAUACCCUUGUAGUC
rnacentral:rRNA from 1 species